AUACGGAGGGUGCAAGCGUUAUUCGGAAUCACUGGGCGUAAAGCGUGCGCAGGCGGCUUGAUAAGUUGGAUGUGAAAGCCUACGGCUCAACCGUAGAACUGCAUCCAAAACUGUCAGGCUAGAGUGUGGGAGAGGAAGAUGGAAUUAGUUGUGUAGGGGUAAAAUCCGUAGAGAUAACUAGGAAUACCAAAAGCGAAGGCAAUCUUCUGGAACACUACUGACGCUGAGGCGCGAAGGCGUGGGGAGCAAACAGGAUUAGAAACCCCAGUAGUCC
rnacentral:rRNA from 1 species